rnacentral:snoRNA from 1 species
GGAAGAUGAUGAGUGAUAUUUUCUCACAAUAAAAUUUUGAGAUGAGUGUCCACCCCAUACCUGGCUACAACAAAUGGUCUCUUUCAUUCUUAUUUAAUCUAAUUCC